GUGAAGAAACAGAUUCAGAAAAUGCAGCCAGACGCUGAAGGAAAAUUGCCCUACUCAGGUUCCUUUGAUUGUGCCAUGAAGACUUUGAAGGCAGGAGGACCCUUCAAAUUCUACACUGGAUUUCCAGUAUACUGUGUUAGGAUUGCCCCUCAUGUUAUGAUGACUUGGAUUUUCCUUAAUCAAAUUCAGAAG